GAGCACUGUUUCGGCAAGGGGGUCAUCCCGACUUACCAACCCGAUGCAAACUGCGAAUACCGGAGAAUGUUAUCACGGGAGACACACGGCGGGUGCUAACGUCCGUCGUGAAGAGGGAAACAACCCAGACCGCCAGCUAAGGUCCCAAAGUCAUGGUUAAGUGGGAAACGAUGUGGGAAGGCCCAGACAGCCAGGAUGUUGGCUUAGAAGCAGCCAUCAUUUAAAGAAAGCGUAAUAGCUCACUGGUCGAGUCGGCCUGCGCGGAAGAUGUAACGGGG
rnacentral:rRNA from 1 species